AUGGGGACAUGGGGACACUGGGGACAUGGGGACAUGGGGACACCAGUACAGGGACAUGGGGACAUUGGGGACAUGGGCACAUUGGGGACAUGGGGACACCAUACAGGGACAUGGGGACCUUGGGGACAUGGGGACACCAGUACAGGGACAUGGGGACAUUGGGGACACCAGUACAGGGACAUGGGGACAUUGGGGACAUGGGGAUACCAGUACAGGGACAUGGGGACACUGGGGACAUGGGGACAUGGGGACACCAGUACAGGGACAUGGGGACAUUGGGGACAUGGGCACAUUGGGGACAUGAGGACAUGGGGACACCAGUACAGGGACAUGGGGACAUGGGGACACCAGUACAGGGACAUGGGGACAUUGGGGACAUGGGCACAUUGGGGACAUGAGGACAUGGGGACACCAGUACAGGGACAUGGGGACACCAGUACAGGGACAUGGGGACAUGGGGACACUGGGGACAUGGGGACAUGGGGACACCAGUACAGGGACAUGGGGACAUUGGGGACACCAGUACGGGGAUGUGGGAACACUGGGAACACUGGGAACAUUGGGGACAUGGGGACAUGGGGACAUUGGGGACAUUGGGGACAUGGGGAUACCAGUACAGGAACAUGGGGACAUGGGGACACCAGUACAGGGGAUGUGGGAACACUGGGAACAUUGGGGACAUGGGGACACUGGGGACAUGGGGACAUUGGGGACACCAGUACAGGGACAUGGGUACACUGGGGACAUUGGGGACAUGGGGACAUUGGGGACACCAGUAUGGGGAAGUGGGGACAUGGGGACAUGAGGACAUGGGAACACCAGUACAGGGACAUGGGGACAUUGGGGGCACCCGUACAGGGACAUGGGCACAUUGGGCACAUUGGGGACAUGGGGACAUUGGGGACAUGGGGACAUUGGGGACAUUGGGGACAUGGGGACAUUGGGGACAUGGGGACAUGGGGACAUUGGGGACAUGGGGACAUUGGGGACAUGGGGACAUUGGGGACAUGGGGACAUGGGGACAUUGGGGAUAUGGGGACAUUGGGGACAUGGGGACAUGGGGAGCAUCCCGGAGCAUCCCGGAGCAUCCCGGGCCGGCCGCGCGUUCCCGGGUGGCACGGCCGCGCCGAGCAAACAGGAAACACUCGGCCUUUGUUCAUCCCGGCCGGGCCGCGCGUUCAAUAUUUAUUUACCCGUGAGCGGAGCUUGGCGCCGGGAGCCGCGGGAGGGACGCCCCGAGGCACGGCCGGAGGCUCCGCGGGCACCGGGCUCACGGAGGUGAGCGGGGCUUCGGGCGGGGGGUGUCGGGCUGGAGGGACGGUCACCCCUUGGCAGCCCUGCCCUUGUCACCCCCGGGCAUUUCCAGCAGGAUCAGCCCCUGUCCCCAGCCUGUGGCCUCGCCACCGCGUCCCCAGCUGGCACCAAGGAGCUCCCUCAUUGCUACGGCACUGGGCUGGGAGCUGCGUCCCCCAGGGCUGUGGAGGGGGGAGGACAGCCUGUCCCCUGUGUCCCCCGUGUCCCUCGUGUCCCCUGUGUGUGCCUCCGGUGUCCCCGGUGUCCCCUCUGUGUGUCCCCUGUGUGUGUCCCCGGUGUCCCCGGAGUCCCCUGUGUGUGUCCCCGGUGUGUGUCCCCUGA
ensembl:lncRNA